AUGGCCAGUCCGCUGUCGCCUGUCUUCUUCAUCACCAACUGCCGACGUGAAAGCAGGAAGUCAACAGCGCCUCCGCGCAGGACCACCGGCGCCGUCCGCUUCAUCGUCGUCACGCACGACCACCAGCGCCUUCCGCAUCAUCAUCAUCACGCACGACCACCGACGUCGUUGUCACGCACGGCCGCCGUCGCCGUUCGCUCUCGUCGUCGACUUCAGCCUCGUCUUCUUGGCUGCUCGACGCCGACCUCCAUAGUGGAGGCGCAGGCCCGGCGCGGCGUAGGCGCGCAGCGCUCCUUCCUCUGGCGCCGGUCGCCGGCGACGGUCUCGGUGGCGGGGGUGCGCUGCAACAGCAACCUACGAAACAACUUCGUCCCGCAACCGAUGGCCGUUCGGGAUUGA
rnacentral:rRNA from 1 species